rnacentral:rRNA from 1 species
CGGCAGGCUUAACACAUGCAAGUCGAGGGGUAACGGGGAAGCUUGCUUCCGCCGACGACCGGCGCACGGGUGCGUAACGCGUAUACAAUCUACCUUGUACUGGGGUAUAGCCUUUAGAAAUGAAGAUUAAUCCCCCAUAGUCUCUUAGAGUGGCAUCACUUCUAGAGUAAAGGUUACGGUAUAAGAUGAGUAUGCGUUCUAUUAGUUUGUUGGUGUGGUAACGGCACACCAAGACUACGAUAGAUAGGGGCCCUGAGAGGGGGAUCCCCCACACUGGUACUGAGACACGGACCAGACUCCUACGGGAGGCAGCAGUGAGGAAUAUUGGACAAUGGAGGCAACUCUGAUCCAGCCAUGCCGCGUGCAGGAAGACUGCCCUAUGGGUUGUAAACUGCUUUUAUACAGGAAGAAACACCUCUACGUGUAGAGGCUUGACGGUACCGUAAGAAUAAGGAUCGGCUAACUCCGUGCCAGCAGCCGCGGUAAUACGGAGGAUCCAAGCGUUAUCCGGAAUCAUUGGGUUUAAAGGGUCCGUAGGUGGAUAAUUAAGUCAGAGGUGAAAUCUUGCAGCUCAACUGUAAAAUUGCCUUUGAAACUGGUUAUCUUGAGUUAUUAUGAAGUAGUUAGAAUAUGUAGUGUAGCGGUGAAAUGCAUAGAUAUUACAUAGAAUACCAAUUGCGAAGGCAGAUUACUAAUAAUCAACUGACACUGAUGGACGAAAGCGUGGGUAGCGAACAGGAUUAGAUACCCUGGUAGUCCACGCCGUAAACGAUGGUUACUAGCUGUUUGGACUUCGGUCUGAGUGGCUAACCGAAAGU